rnacentral:rRNA from 1 species
ACUUAGUGGCGGACGGGUGAGUAACGCGUGAGCAACCUGCCUUUCAGAGGGGGAUAACGUUUGGAAACGAACGCUAAUACCGCAUAACAUAUCGGAGCCGCAUGACUCUGAUAUCAAAGGAGCAAUCCGCUGAAAGAUGGCCUCGCGUCUGAUUAGCUAGUUGGUGGGGUAACGGCCCACCAAGGCGACGAUCAGUAGCCGGUCUGAGAGGAUGAACGGCCACAUUGGGACUGAGAUACGGCCCAGACUCCUACGGGAGGCAGCAGUGGGGAAUAUUGGGCAAUGGGCGAAAGCCUGACCCAGCAACGCCGCGUGAAGGAAGAAGGCCUUCGGGUUGUAAACUUCUUUUACCAGGGACGAAGGACGUGACGGUACCUGGAGAAAAAGCAACGGCUAACUACGUGCCAGCAGCCGCGGUAAUACGUAGGUUGCAAGCGUUGUCCGGAUUUACUGGGUGUAAAGGGCGUGUAGGCGGAGAUGCAAGUUAGGAGUGAAAUCUAUGGGCUCAACCCAUAAACUGCUUCUAAAACUGUAUCCCUUGAGUAUCGGAGAGGCAAGCGGAAUUCCUAGUGUAGCGGUGAAAUGCGUAGAUAUUAGGAGGAACACCAGUGGCGAAGGCGGCUUUCUGGACGAUAACUGACGCUGAGGCGCGAAAGUGUGGGGAGCAAACAGGAUUAGAUACCCUGGUAGUCCACACUGUAAACGAUGGAUACUAGGUGUAGGAGGUAUCGACCCCUUCUGUGCCGCAGUUAACACAAUAAGUAUCCCACCUGGGGAGUACGACCGCAAGGUUGAAACUCAAAGGAAUUGACGGGGGCCCGCACAAGCAGUGGAGUAUGUGGUUUAAUUCGAAGCAACGCGAAGAACCUUACCUGGGCUUGACAUCCCGACGACCGCUCUGGAGACAGAGCUUUUCUUCGGAACGUCGGUGACAGGUGGUGCAUGGUUGUCGUCAGCUCGUGUCGUGAGAUGUUGGGUUAAGUCCCGCAACGAGCGCAACCCCUAUCUUCAGUAGCCAGCAGGUAGAGCUGGGCACUCUGGAGAGACUGCCAGGGAUAACCUGGAGGAAGGUGGGGACGACGUCAAAUCAUCAUGCCCCUUAUGAUCUGGGCGACACACGUGCUACAAUGGCGGUCACAGAGUGAGGCGAACCCGCGAGGGGGAGCAAACCACAAAAAGGCCGUCCCAGUUCGGACUGUAGUCUGCAACCCGACAACACGAAGCUGGAAUCGCUAGUAAUCGCGAAUCAGAAUGUCGCGGUGAAUACGUUCCCGGGUCUUG